UACGUAGGGUGCAAGCGUUGUCCGGAAUUAUUGGGCGUAAAGAGCUCGUAGGCGGUCUGUUGCGUCGGCUGUGAAAACCCGGGGCUCAACCUCGGGUCUGCAGUCGAUACGAGCAAACUAGAGUGUUGCAGGGAGACUGGAAUUCCUGGUGUAGCGGUGAAAUGCGCAGAUAUCAGGAGGAACACCGGUGGCGAAGGCGGGUCUCUGGGCAACAACUGACGCUGGAGGAGCGAAAGCGUGGGAGCGAACAGG
rnacentral:rRNA from 1 species